rnacentral:rRNA from 1 species
AUGCCAACACCAACACCGACGGUCGAUGACCCCUUCUACAACCAGUUCGUGGAGGGUGUGAUCUACGAGGGUGGGCAUGGUCGUGCCUACGAUCUUGACGAGACCCAAAGUCGGGAUGGCCGCGCUCAGUACGUUGUCGAUGAAGAGGCCGACGACCGUGCUGACUACGACCAUGGUGACUCGUGGCAUGAAGACGAUGACAUCUAUUGUGAAGGUGAUGGUGAUGAAGAAGAAGACAAUGACAUUGAUAUUAUUGACGAGCCAUUGUUCAUCGACGAGUUCACCCAAAGAGCGGAAGCACAAAAGAGGAGGAAGAGCAUUCACACGGGUUCAUAUUCACAAGAGGAGGACAAGUUGAUUUUCCAAUGUUGGAUAGAGAUUAGCCAAGAUCCGACGACCGGCGUGCAACAAAAGGGCCUUCUUUUUUGGACGAUAGUCCACAAAACAUUCCAUGAAAGGAAGAUGUUUGAGCCCUAUCAAAUUACGAGCAACCGUGGCAUCACCUCGAUUCAAAAGAGGUGGUUGUUCAUCCAGCAAGAGUGCAACAAGUAUUGCGCCGCACUUGAGAGUGUUGAAGUACGGCCCGUGAGUGGUCUCGGUGUUGGGGACAUGGUAUGUUCUCCUCAUCCUAGUUCUUUCGUUGCUAUGGCCAUGAGACUUCUAUGUUUGCAUGUUCAAUUGUUGUUGAUCAUGUGGUGUAUGCAUUUCAAACUUUGA